UUCCUCUAGUGCAUUUCCACCUAUAAGACAAAAACGGUAGAUGUUUAUGAUUUUGCACCAUAACAUCUUUUUUCAUUACAGAUGAAGCAAGACUCGAGGCAUCAGGGCAACCCCUCAGUCCUUCCCAGGAUCCAACCGGAGCCCCAAACAUCACAGUCUCUUCGUCGCUGCUGGAGGAUGAAGACUUCGCCUCGCUGUACAACUCCCCACCAGCGAGGGCAGAAAGCACAAGGGAGCAGCCUGUGUUUGCCUCGGUGCAGACCCUGCAGGUUGUAGAGACACAGCCUCAGGCGCUGGUGCAUUCUCUGCCCUCCCCACCCGGCAACAGUGACAAUCGCACCAAUCAAAAGUCCGCUGGGGAGCAGGCCGUCAGAGUGCCAAAUCCACCGUCCCCGGCACAUAAAAUCAACAGUGUCUUGACCACUAGCUCAGACGAGACUCUUAGUGAAUUCCCCAGAAACCCUGAUCUUCCCACCGCCCCGGGAUCCUCUUUCAUGAUUGUGGCAGAGACGGAUGCUACACUCACUGACAAUGUGACAACUUCGGUCUCCUUUUCCGCUUUUAACGGCACUUCUGAAAGGGCUGAAAACGCUUCGUCCGGCUCUUCAGCAAGCAGCAACUCCCACACUGUGACCAGCGACAGUCUCCAACUCACCACAGUGACCACCACGACUGUCACGCCCUUAACUGUGACAUCAAUGACUGUGACUCCGCCCACUGCCAUCGUUGUGGUGAAAGAGGUCACGACCACCAUGCCGACCACUACAGCCACCCAGACCACAACAACCGAGACGGAACCACCGACGACAGCCACCACUACCACUACAACUACCACCACCACAAAAGUAGCACCAACAACCACAAAAACACCUACAACCACUUUAGCAACCACAACAACGACAACCCCUCUUCAAACCACUGUUGUAUCUACCUCUGGAAGUACCACGAAUGAACCGAGCACCCCUCCUACUGACAGUUCACCUUUGACCUGUAACGUGACCGAAAGAUUAUGGGUGAAAACAGUGUUGUCCAUCCAGAUGCGACAAAAUCGCCUAGAAGCUGAAAUGAGACAGAACCUGUCUAAAGGUUUCACACAGGCACUUCAGAGAGCGUUCAACGACAGCAACGUCCAUGUUCAGGUUGGUGGU
rnacentral:lncRNA from 1 species